AAAACCUAAUAUUUUUCUUCCAUAUCGCCCCCAUUAACACGUUGCUAUGAUACGCCAGCCAUGUGAAGAGCUUAACUUUUCUGGGAGGGGUGAUUUCCCCAAGGUUUUGGCAAAGGUAGGGGUUUCUCCACCAUGAAACGUCUCAGAAAGACUCCGUUUCCAAGCCAGCAUGUCAUUUUCUGAAGUCAACUCCACUGUACGAAGAAGAUUUUCUAGAUUUUGCUAUUCAUGUCUUCCUCUCAUUGUCGGAGAUGUGAGGCUUUCGUUGUUGCAAAGGUAGUUGUUGAGAACAAGGGACACCGAGUCCCUUUGGUUCUCACUGUGAACCCAGCAAUCGUGCCAGAAGGUGAAUUCUUGCCCGGAUCCAAUAGUAAAAG
rnacentral:lncRNA from 1 species